rnacentral:misc_RNA from 1 species
CCAAGAUGGCAGACGAAGAUGAGGAAUAUCUGCAAUUCGUAGCACUUCAUAGAAGUCAGUUAGAAUUUGUUGGAAUACCUUGUCACUUCUGGAAAUCAAUUCAUACAAAGUUGAAGAACGAGACUUACGAUGCUGGAAUAUUUUUCACAAUGGUUAAAGAAAGAGAUGGAAUUUUGAAAGUUUUUGUUACUAGAGAAGAUGGAAUGAAGGUGUCAGAUCCUUACUGUGUGUUUUUAAUUGAUCAUGCCUGGACGUACCAAGUGAAUUAUGCAAGAGCCCAGCUCAAGACAAUCCCUGGUCUUGCAGAUAGAAUGGGUUCUUUGAUGGCAGUAACAAAAGAUGAAGAAUCACUUCAAAUGAGUCAGGAACAACUCAUUGAAGAAAUCUUGGAAAAGAUGUGGAGUUUUAAUCAGAGUUACCGUUUAAAGGUGAGUUAUUCAAACAGCCACAUGUAUCAAAAGGAUGCUCAUGAUGAUGAUGAACAUACUCCUUUGUGGUUUGUCAUGGAUGAGUUUGGUUCUUGUAUAAAACAUUCAGAUGACCCUUCUUUUGCAAUUGGUAUUCUUCAUUAUGUACCUCUUGGCAUGGCCUUCUCAAUACUAUGGCCCUUGAGAGAUAUGGAUUAUGGAGAGGAAGUUACUCGGGAUUAUGUAGCACCCAUCACAGAACCACUCUUACGCGAUUGUUCUCUGUUACCUUGGUUCCCUGACAAGCUGGAAGAUGAAAAUUGGAUCAAACAAUUGACUGCUGAAAGAGCAAUAGAUCUUGUCAGGGAGGAACUCAGUGCAAUGCAGAUGAAGGACUGGCAGGGUGAGCUUUAUCCUAGCCACAAAUGUACAGAACUUACUGCUGUAACACCUGACAGUGAAAAAGUAUAUCGUGUUUUCACUGAUGUUCAACAAGUAACAGAUUUUCUAACACAUCCAAGAUUUUUUCUGGUAGACAAUAAAGAAGAAGCAGAUAUUCUAUGGAUAAGGGAGCAUUUUAAAGAUUUUAGAUCUCUUCAAGAAAAUGGUAAAUUUAUAAAUCAGUUUCCAAAUGAGAACAGCCUGGUAUGCAAAGAUCUUCUGGCAGCAGUGUGUCAAAAUGCAACCCCCUGUGGAGAUGGCAAAGAAGAUGACUUACUUGUGAGAGGACCUGAAUGGCUACCUGUUACUUUCAACUUAAAUUUCGAACUUCCCCUGUUUCUUGAUCAUUACAUAAAGAGAAAGAAGAGAGGGCUUGAUAAUCACUGGAUUUGUAAACCAUGGAAUCUAGCAAGAGCCCUUGAUAGCCACGUGACGUCAAAUGUAAACUACAUUUUGAGACUGAGAGAGACUGGGCCAAAGGUUGUCUGUAAAUACAUAGAAAACCCGAUUCUGUUCCAUCGGGAAGAUGUUGGUCAGGUCAAGUUUGAUAUACGUUACUUAGUUCUCAUCAGCUCAGCAGAGCCCCUUGUGCUCUAUGCAGAUAAAGUUUUCUGGUUACGAUUUGCCAACCAGCCAUUUUCUAUGGAUUCUUUCGAUGUUUACGCGAAACAUUUCACAGUUAUGAAUUAUCGGGACAGUGAAAAUUUAAAGCAGGUGCAUCACCACGAGUUCAUUCCUAUGUUUGAAAAACAAUAUCCUGAUCACAGAUGGGCCGACGUCGAGGCAAAAAUUUUCAAAAUGUUCCGCGAGAUGUUCGAGGCGGCUGUCUGCGACUCGCCACCCAAGAAGUUGAUACACUGUUCGCAGAAACAGUAUGGAAAUGGUAAAUCUGGUCUUAGAAAACAGUAGCGGAAACAUUAUGGAAGUGGUAACACCUGGUCUGAAGAAACAGUUACGUGCAGACACGAACAUACUAAAAUGUUGAAGAACUGCCACGGAGGCAUCUCUAUUUAAUGAUUCCUUCAGUUAAGAUCAUGAGUCAGUGGAUUACUUGAACAGCUUGUGUUGUGUUGUCUGUUUUGCAGUCUCGUGCAUUUUAUGCCGUUGAUUUGAUGCUCAAAUGGGCGGACGAUGGCUCAAACGAAAUAGUACCUCAAGUUUUGGAGGUAAACUACGUCCCAGACU